CCCUGUGGCUCAGUUGGUAGAGCAUGGUGUUUGCAACGCCAGGGUUGUGCGUUCGAUUCCCACAGGGG
rnacentral:tRNA from 1 species